GACGAACGCUGGCGGCGUGCCUAACACAUGCAAGUCGAGCGGAGACAUGUUGCGGAAGUUUUCGGAUGGAAGCGAUAUGUUUUAGCGGCGGACGGGUGAGUAACGCGUGAGCAACCUUUCCUUCACAGGGGGAUAACAGUUAGAAAUGACUGCUAAUACCGCAUAAGACCACAGCACCGCAUGGUGCAGGGGUAAAAACUCCGGUGGUAUGAGAUGGACCCGCGUCUGAUUAGGUAGUUGGUGGGGUAACGGCCUACCAAGCCGACGAUCAGUAGCCGACCUGAGAGGGUGACCGGCCACAUUGGGACUGAGACACGGCCCAA
rnacentral:rRNA from 1 species